AGGCCUCCUGCGUGGGGCUUGCCCCGCCGUGCAGGCUGGUGCGAGCGCCUUGCGCCUGCAGGGCUUCUUGGGGUUGGAGCGUUUGGCGUUAGGAGCUUGCAGGUUGCUAACGUGUGCGUUUUGGGCUUUGCUGUGUUACCCCCUGAAGGAAGAAUGCCAGCUGCGGGACCAGAAGCGCAGGCCGUGCUACGUCCACGGGCACUGGUGGGAUGUGGCGAUUCUACACUGAGGACUCUCCGGGGCUCAAAGUGGCCAAAACUCUGCCCCACAGGGGAGUUCAGUGUUCUCUCUCACCAGUGAUUACUCUUACCUGGAACAUAACUGGGGAAAUACUCCUCAUCUGAUCUCUUUAUGGAUCGCCCUUCAACAAUUUGCCACCAUGGACCCCACUCUAAUGCAUAUGAUAUUGGCCACAUCUACCACAGGAUACAGAGCGUUAAAAAGUUAAAAAAAAAUUCUAAAGAAAUGCAUUUUUUGUGUGAUCAGCUAUAACCAAAAACUGGAAUGGAAAGGUUUCCCAAGGAAAAAGGCAGAGCCUCCAUUUGAAAUGAAAAUGAAAAAUGGAAGAGUAGGGCUUUUAAAGUCAGAAACAAUAUAGAAAAGAGAAACCCUCAGAGUCAACCUGAUACAGAGUUAAGAUAUAUGAAGAAGAAAUAACGGCGCUUAGGAGUGAAUUCAAAGCAGCAUCCAAAUUCCAAUUUUUUUCCAUUCACAUGUAGGAGAAACAAGAAUUAAGAAGUAAAGAGCAAUGUGGUACCCCGAAAAAGGAGUCUCACAGGGACAAGCAUUUGAAGGAACUCUCACACUGAAAAUCCAAGCUAAUUAUCUGAAAAUAACAUCUGUUACAUUCAAGCUCCAAAGCACACACCUACUAACAAGAAGGAUCAGAAAAACGCUAGUUAUUUAUACAUCAUAUAUUUUAACUAACUGGAGGCAGUGCUGGAAUCAUAAUGAUUUCUGGAUCUGUGUCCCUCAUCACACAGCAGGAACUCAUGGCUCUUCCAGGAGACAUCAGAAUAACAGACCUACCUUGAAAACAUCUUCAGCUUUAACAAAUGCGGUGGGACUAGGAGCACAGCUUUGCGACUAGACCACAUAGGAUAAGAGAUGCCAGCCAUUAAAAAUCAGGUUUGCCAAACAUACUGCUGAGUUGCUUUUUCUUUGCUAAUCUGUGUAUCUGCUAUUACACAAAAGAGCUUUCAAGAACUGGCCUGAUGAAGCAUUCUCAUUCUUUCUUCCCAUAAAAAAGCAGACCUGGCACAGGCACAGUAAAUAAAAAUAACAAGCAUAUGAUGCCCA
rnacentral:lncRNA from 1 species